UACGGAAGGCAGCAGUGGGGAAUAUUGGACAAUGGGCGCAAGCCUGAUCCAGCCAUGCCGCGUGUGUGAAGAAGGCCUUUUUGGUUGUAAAGCACUUUAAGCGAGGAGGAGGCUCUCUUAGUUAAUACCUAAGAUGAGUGGACGUUACUCGCAGAAUAAGCACCGGCUAACUCUGUGCCAGCAGCCGCGGUAAUACAGAGGGUGCGAGCGUUAAUCGGAUUUACUGGGCGUAAAGCGUGCGUAGGCGGCUUUUUUAAGUCGGAUGUGAAAUCCCCGAGCUUAACUUGGGAAUUGCAUUCGAUACUGGGAAGCUAGAGUAUGGGAGAGGAUGGUAGAAUUCCAGGUGUAGCGGUGAAAUGCGUAGAGAUCUGGAGGAAUACCGAUGGGCGAAGGGCAGCCAUCUGGGCCUAAUACUGACGCUGAGGUACGAAAGCAUGGGGA
rnacentral:rRNA from 1 species